rfam:Gossypium arboreum cultivar AKA8401 contig_12273_3, whole genome shotgun sequence.
GUUUCUCUUUAAUGGGAAGCAUAGAGUAAAGGGAAAUUGCCAGUUUUAAACAGCAUGAUGCUGUUGUUUAUCUAUUGCAUCGUGUUACCUGUCUGCUGGUAUAUUU